rnacentral:lncRNA from 1 species
CACCCUCUGGCUUUCCCUGGUCAGUGACUUGGUUUUGUGGAUGCAUUUGGGCAGUAGCUUUGCAUGGGCUUGAGCCUGGGUGCUGAGGAUCCAGAUGGAAGCUCUAGAGAUGCAAAUGAGACACAGGACAGCAGGGGCCUCUGCUUAGAAGAUGAGGUAGCUGGUUCAUUUGAGGGACUGGUGGGUGUGUUGGCCAAGUACCUAAGGCUGCAAGUGCAUUUCUUGAAACUGCCAGUGUUAUCUUUGGCACUUUGGCAAAUACUACCCAUUGUUCUCAGGGUGCAUAUGAGUGUCUCAGGCAGUAACUUGGCAUGUCGUAAAUGUUUCAUGCCACACCUGGUCUCUCAUCAGACCCUUCAGACCCCUGUAAAUGCUGGCUUGUGAAAUGUAGGCUGUGAGGUAGUUGGCUUGUGAAAUCUAGGCUGUGAGGUAGCAGGCUUUCUUGCUUAUUUAUAAAAUGUUUGGCUCAUUUGGCAGCAAAUGAGCCAAAAAACUUUGCUAGGUGUACAAACUCACCCCCGUCAGGAUUACUUUUCAGCACUUGGGUAAUUAUUACCCACUAACAGCUUUCAAAGCUUCUUUCUCCUUGAAACAUGGAAAGACUGAGCCACAGAAACUAGAUAUCUUGUCCUAGAGCUCAGUGUGUCUGUUCACAGUUUAUAUCUCAAAAAGAGAAGGAACAAAAAAGAAAGUUUGAAAUGAGAUAUGUAAUACAGGAUCACUUUGUAUUUAAUUUUUUGUGCAUAUGAGCACAAAAUGCAAAAACUGUAUUUUAGUUUUUUAAAAUAUUAAAGUCCUUAAUACUUGUUAGUUUCAUUAUGACUUUAUACAAUUUGGAUAGGUAAUGGAGUGUUUUUGUUGUUUGCUUUUAGAAAUUUCUAAAAGUAUAAAAGUAGAGACAUCUAACCUGGGUUACAGUGUUUAUACACUGUUCCAUGGUUCAAACAGGUAGGACACCAAUGCUUUCCAGGUGGAAAUUCAAGUUCAUUCAGGGACAUUAUCUUCCCAGUUUAAGGAAGCAAUAAUGUUGUCAACUCAAUGAUGAACAACCUUCGUGUUCUAUGAAACGUCUUCAAAAUUUCUUUGGCUUUAAUUGCUCCUUUUGAUCAGUUGUUCAGAUGAAAGAUUGUCAUUGUAUGUUAAAGAUUGAAUCUCGUUAAGAUGCUGCAGAAACUGAGAAGACAAUGGCUUUUUCAUACAUCUUCACCGCCCUCUGCAGUGAUACACUUUAGAGUUGGAUGCUGCUUUGAAAUUUGGGGUCUGUGUGAUGCUGAAUUUUUUUUACCUGUAUGAAAAUAUUAUGGUCCCUUCUUCAUAUCUGUAGUACUUGAUUCCAGGUCCCCCCGAAGUUACAAAAAUCUGAGGAUGCUCAAGUUCUUUAUGUAAAAAAGGUAUAGUAGGAUUUGCCUAGAACCUAUACAACCCUCCUGUAGAGUUGAAAUGAUUUCUAGAUUACAUAUGAUUACUAACACAAUGUUAAUGCUAUGUAAAUAGUUGUUAUACUGUACUGUUUAGGGAAUAAUUACCAGGAAUAAGUAUUCAUGUUUAAUACAGAUGUAUUUUUUAAUGAAUGGGUUGAUCUGGGUUGAAUCAGUGGAUGUAGAAGCUGUGGAUAUGGAGGGCCAUUGCACUUCUUCAGGAUGGCGGAACUCACUUUUGACUUGGCACUUCUUUUUUACUUCCUUCUACCAAAAGAGCACAUGGGGUUUUCUACUUUCCAUUCUAAGGUUGGAGCUGAAAGACCUACUACUUUACUGUUACCUCUCCUGUAGGAAUCUGACUCACUGAAUGAAAUAGUUUAUGUUGUAUUCACUUCACUCCAAGAUGCUUCCUUAGAGAAUGUGUCUUUUCUCCUGAUCACAAUCACUUAGGGUCUCCAUUUUUCCCAUAUAUAUUCCUAAAUGGUACAAGCAUUUCCAUUCCAUGAACAUCAUGGGCUGACAGGAAGCACACCACUCCUGCACUCAGCAUUCAUAUUGCCAAUCUCCACUGGACACAUCUGGAAAUGUGCAGUAGACCUUCCACCAUCCCAGUUCUCCUGUGCAGUAAAGUGUUCCACAGCCACCAGUUCAGACACCAGAAGAUGCCAGGACUGGCAGAUGUCCCUCCUCUUAGCACAGAUCCAGUGGCUUCCUUCCUUAGUUGUGCUCCUCUGUAGCCUUACUGUGGACUUACAGCAAGGGCGACAAUUCAGAAUUCAGAGUGGAUUCUGAGAACAAACCCGUUGUCCAGGGAUCCAUUAUGAGAUAUUAUAGGCCUUCUCCACACAUCGUUGUUGGUUUAAACAAACAUCAAAACUGAAAGGCAGGAUCUGAGAGUGGAGAACUAAGGAAAGAAAUGCUUGAGCUCAGAGGAAAAGUCGUGAGACCCAGUGAGAAGCAGCACAUCCACACGCUGAGCACUACCCUGCAGGGCCACGCUCGCAGGGGGCAGCCACAUGUCUUCUGUGGCCAAUCAUUUUUACAGUGCUGCUUCUCUGUGAUAGAUGUCUAGAGAGCAUGAUGUUACCUAGAGAUUUAAACCUGUGUCCCCCCUGUCAGGCGCAGCCUCAGAUGCUUCUUGUACAGUUGGUGGA